UUUUUUAUUUCCGGAAAACUCUUAUUCUUUGGAGAGUUUCAUUUCCUUUUACUUCAAAAUUUCUGCUAGUUAAAACCGUUUCCACACCCAAAUAUAAUCGGAUUUCUAAAAUACCUGGAAACAUACUUGUGGAUUCUAAGUAAAGCCUUGGAUAUUAGUUCUUCUGCUCUUUUUCUUGAAAUUCUUCUUGAAAAUCACCCUCAUAUUUCUUGUCUAUUUUAAUGACAGUGCCUAUGAGUUGAUUGUUGACUUAGUUUCUUGCUAUGGCCGCAAGGUAAGGUAAAAAACAUAAACUAUGCAUGUAGUAUGUAAUGUAUCAACUUUGAUGGCUUUUCAUGCUGUCAUAAGUUUAAAGAAUCAGCUCUCUGGAGCUCUUGUGUUUUUUCUAGUAAAAAGUUUCAGCUCACUAGUUUCAGAUAAAAUUUCUCUUUGGAGGAAAACAUGGCACUAAAACGAACCUCUGCAGCUUCAAUUAGAUGUUCUAUGAUUCAACUGUUUUUCAGUUAUGUUUUUAUUAAUCGCAGGUGAGGCAGACAUGCUGAAAUUGUUCGAGACCUUGACCCCAAUACUGUCUAAUGCGGGGAAAGUGAAACAGUGCCUCACAGAUGCAUCAUCACCUGCGGCAUAUAUUCAAUUUGAAAACACCGACAGUAUGCAUAAAUUACUUAACGCACACAAUAAAGCUGUUAAUGUUGGUGAAAAGCCAGGGAUGCAGCUCAUUAAAAUAGAUCUACUUGGUGGAUCCUCGGGACAUUUCAGGAGCGAAUGUAGUGCUUUAAUGAGUAAUAAGCGAAAAUUCAUGGAAACGAUUACCUUGUCUGUCAAUUCAAUGGUAGCUGAGUCAAACUCUUCAACAGCCAAGUCCAGGCGAAUGGCGCUUGUAAGAAGAAGAAAAAAGCCAUCAAAAAGGAAUAUACCAAUUGUGAGGUUUUUUGACUUUGGAUCUCGAGUAUCGGGCCUUGCCUCUGUGAACAGCGAUUUUGACUUGUUUGUGGAUCUAACUGGACAGAUGUAUUGGGGCUCUGAUGGAUACUAUGACGAAAUAAAUUCUAAAAAAGAAACUUGUAAGCACAUUUUUGAAAUUAGAAAAUUCUGAAGAAUAAUCAAGAGUUUACCAACAUCAAAGCAAUUCCG
rnacentral:lncRNA from 1 species